rnacentral:rRNA from 1 species
UACGAAGGGGGCUAGCGUUGUUCGGAUUUACUGGGCGUAAAGCGCACGUAGGCGGAUCGUUAAGUCGGGGGGUGAAAUCCUGGAGCUCAACUCCAGAACUGCCUUCGAUACUGGCGAUCUAGAGUCCGGAAGAGGUGAGUGGAACUGCGAGUGUAGAGGUGAAAUUCGUAGAUAUUCGCAAGAACACCAGUGGCGAAGGCGGCUCACUGGCCCGAGUACUGACGGCUGAGGCACGAAAAGCGUGGGGGAGCAAACAGG